AACUCAUCGAGACCAGCCGAGGGAAAGGCCCGACGACGCUGGGGCAACCGCCACAAGCCUGUGGAAUGGUGCCAACUCCUACGGGGCGCAUUUCCCCGAAAGAUGAGAG
rnacentral:ncRNA from 2 species